rnacentral:rRNA from 1 species
AUAGCGUAUAUUAAAGUUGUUGCAGUUAAAACGCUCGUAGUCGAAUUUUAGACAAGGACGACCGGUCUACCGUAUGGUAUGACUGGAUGUUCCGCGUCUCUCCUUUGGGGAACAGAUACGAGAGUAUCCGGGAACCAAGUAUUACUGUGAAGAAAUUAGAGUGUUUAAAGCAGGCGUUUGCUUGAAUACGUUAGCAUGGAAUAAUAAGAUAGGACUUUGGUUCUAUUUUGUUGGUUUGAGGACCAAGGUAAUGAUUAAUAGGGACAGUUGGGGGCAUUAGUAUUCAGUAGUCAGAGGUGAAAUUCUUGGAUUUACUGAAGACUAACUAAUG